rnacentral:piRNA from 1 species
CAAAAUGAAGCCGUCAGGCUGGGUCCUAA